ACAAAUUAUUUCUCUACAAUUUAUCCGAUUGUAAAAGGAAACAUUAAAAAAAAAAAUCUAAUUUCAACUAUUAUUUAGUAAAAAAGAGGUAUGCAAUGAUAUGUUACUGUAAUCGAGUUUGAGAGGUUUGUGAAGGAAAAAAAAUGUCAAUUAGUUUCUUGAAAAUUGUAUUUCAAUUUCUAUGUAGAACCUUUGUAUAAUCCGUUGAACUAUGCAUGUGAGUAUAUUGACAAAAAAAACCCAUAAAAUAUUAUAUUAGAAAAACGAUAUUGUUAAAGUUUAUUUAGGAAAGAACAUUACAAUAAAUUUGUAAAGUUGGUCUGAGAAGCUCUCUACAUGUGUCACGUUAGCAUAUUCAUUCUUGAAUUGCUGUGAGACUGUCACGUGGCAAACAUGAACACAUUAAUCUCACGUGUUUUCUUUUAAUAUCUAGGAGAUUGAAAGUAGUGUUACCAAAAAAAAAUUUAAUUGAAAGUAAAACUGUACUCCCUCCGUUCCUAAAAGAUAGACUUUUUAG
rnacentral:lncRNA from 1 species